rnacentral:tRNA from 1 species
AGCAGCACGGCCUAGUGGAAAGAGCACAGGCCUGGGAGUCAGAGGUUGUGGGUUCUAAUCCCACUUCUGCCA